ACGCUCGACACCUACGGGAGGGCAGCAGUGGGGAAUAUUGCACAAUGGGGGAAACCCUGAUGCAGCGACGCCGCGUGAGCGAAGAAGUAUUUCGGUAUGUAAAGCUCUAUCAGCAGGGAAGAAACUGACGGUACCUGACUAAGAAGCACCGGCUAAAUACGUGCCUAGCAGCCGCGGUAAUCUGAGCGGGCUGGCAAGGC
rnacentral:rRNA from 1 species